GGGGAUGUUUUGGUUUUGACAGCAUUGUAGACGGUAGUAAGCACGUCGAGAGUCGUAGGCCCUCUCGUUAAUCUCAGCUUUCAAAAAUUAGUAGGCAACUACAACUAUUCAUACGCUUGCUAGUCACCAGGUGACAAGCAUCAAUCAGAGCCGCCAAGGCUGCGGCACUGACGUAUAUCCCGCUAUGAUUCAGGCCGGUCCUUCAUAGCAUACGGGGUAUCAUCCAGACCGGAUGCACGUGUGGACUCCUUUAAAGCACGCCAAGACUCAGAGGAUAAGUUUCGGACCAGCCCGUCUUCCGGCAUUCCGUUACCGACAAUCAAAGGAAGAAUAAACGUGUAGAAAGCUAUUGGGUAUGGUGUUUGGACGGCGGUUCGAGUCCGCCCAUCUCCAC
rnacentral:tmRNA from 1 species